rnacentral:rRNA from 1 species
GAUAAACGCUAGCGGCAGGCCUAACACAUGCAAGUCGAGGGGCAGCGUAAGGAGUAGCAAUACUUUUUGACGGCGACCGGCGCACGGGUGCGUAACGCGUAUGCAACCUACCGUUCACAGGGGGGAUAGUCAGAGGAAACUUUGAAUAAUACCGCAUAAAACAAUUGAUCGGCAUCGAUUGGUUGUUAAGGUGGCGACACGGUGAACGAUGGGCAUGCGUUCGAUUAGAUAGUAGGCGGGGUAACGGCCCACCUAGUCUUCGAUGGAUAGGGGUUCUGAGAGGAAGGCCCCCCCACAUUGGAACUGAGACACGGUCCAA